rnacentral:lncRNA from 1 species
UCAUAGACUCUUUGAAUCUAAAAUCAAAUCUUAUUCAUCUUUGAAAUUAAACCUGAACCUCAUGUCUAGUGCUAGCUAGACAUAGUUAACUAUUUAAUCUCGUAUGAUCUGUAACUUAAUUCUCAAUCAAGUUAAUCUAUUUAUUCAAUCAAGUCACGUACUUUCAAAUUGAACAUAUAGACCUAGAUCAAUUCUUUUCUAU